GGGAAUCUGAAUUCCUACUUCAUUCUGCUACAUGCUUAAAGGUAAAGGUAAAGGGACCACUGACCGUUAGGUCCAGUCGUGGCCGACUCUGGGGUUGCAGCGCUCAUCUCGCUUUAUUGGCCGAGGGAGCUGGCGUACAGCUUCCGGGUCAUGUGGCCAGCAUGACUAAGCUGCUUCUGGCAAACCAGAGCAGCACACAGAAACGCCAUUUACCUUCCCGCCAGUGUGGUACCUAUUUAUCUACUUGCACUUUGACGUGCUUUUGAACUGCUAGGUUGGCAGGAGCCGGGACCGAGCAACGGGAGCUCACCCCGUCGCAGGGAUUCGAAGUGCCGACCUUCUGAUCAGCAAGUCCUAGGCUCUGUGGUUUAACCCACAGUGCCACCCGCAUCCCUUCGUCAUGACAUUUUGUUAUCUAUCUGUCUUGCAGGAAAGGGGAAAUACAAGUGUGCACUGCAAAUGGAAUGAAUUACAAUAUAGGUAUGCUACAUGUAUUGCAAAUAUAAAUCAUUUCCAAAACUCUGACACAAAACAAUAGAAAUACGAGACUAGUAAAGCCAAGACAACGAAGCUCCCACAGUCAUGAAAAUCAAAUGUGUUUGGCUCAACAUACACUGUAACUCAAAGUGAACUGUGCAAAAUGUUCCCACCGUAAGAAAACAAAACAAUUCCUGGCUGGCUGGCUGGCUGGCUGGCUGGCUGGCUGGUUGAUGUUGUCCUACAGGUUUAGGAUUUGAUCAUUAAAAUCGUCCACUGAAAUGAAUGGGGCAACUCCAUCAUUUCCCCUCCAGGCUUUAGCAGACCUCUCUGGCAACUAGCGCUGCAGUUGUUAAAACUUGACAAUAAUGAAUUUGGAUGGCCAAUGGAUCUGUGGUCAAAAAGGAACAAUAAUAAUGUCCGAGGCAGACUAUGACGAACUGCUUGUGAAAGAUGGUACCCUUAGAUAGAUCAUUAGUGAUGACUGAUGUUCCAGGAGGAGCUUACAAGCAAUAUAGCAAGGUGAUAUAUCAGGUCACCAUAUGAAGCGCCUCUUAGCCUGCAAAUUGCACUGCCAAUCACUCUCUUCUGAAGGUCUUUCCUGCCACUAGUGAGGAAGACCUGAUAUAAGUCUCCAUUCCCAGCCUGAUGAAUGAUGAUUGAACUUUUGCCUGUUUCAAUCUAAAAAAUUUGGAGGUGUUUAGAGCAAUGGCAUUCAUCCUUAUACCAGCCACAGAGGGAAAGCCUGUCGAAAACUUGGUGAGGCUGGGAGCUUACUACUCCAACGAGAAGCUGGAUUCUUCUCAAUGUCUGUUCUGAAUUUUGUCUUUUGUGGAAAUCUGCUGGUGAGAACAAAGUUCAAUGCAGAUUCUGUAACCCAGCCUGAAAUGAAUGCCAUCUAGAGGCCUCCAGCAUUGCUUCUGGUGAGGACCCAGUUGAAAAAAC